rnacentral:lncRNA from 1 species
UCACUUGUUGCUCUUGUCAUGUGCAUAUGGUAUUAUUAAUGUCUCUUGUAUUAUUCGUGCAAAUAUGAUAAAAUCACUAUAACAUUGCAGAAACUGAGAGAGACCAAACUAUAUCUUCAUCUCUCUACACAGGCAGCACAGCUACUACAUCAGUCCCUUAAGAAAGCGUGCGAAUAUCUUCAUAGCCUCGAGAGCUUUCUCACAAUCAGGUCUCAUCAAAUGAAAAACAUGGUCUUCUCCUUCACUCUCCACCAACUCCACUUUCCCUUUCC